AAAAAAUAGGAUUGAACUAUAAUUUAGUGAGUAUACAAUGAUUGACAACAUGUGGUUUGAUACUUUGCAGCAGCAAUUUUGUAAAAUGCAGUUUUCAUGAAAAUUGUCACUGGUGUUACUGUCACUGGUGUUACCUUCCUUAUAGGUAACACCAGUAAAGAUCAGUGACACCAGUGACUGAUGAUUUGUUGUGUCACUGGUGUUACUGUAUUUUUUUUUCACAUUAAAUAAAAUCUUUCACGUGUGACAUGAUGAUCAUUUUAAAUGCAUUGAGUUCUGCUACACUUAAGAAUUAACUUUAAAGCUGAAAAAAAUUAUAUUUUAAAAUUUCAUAAACACCUUUAAUAUUGCUAUAGAAGUAAGGUAACACCAGUGACAAAAAAUGGUGUAUACAGUCUUUAAGUACAUGCACACAAAAAAUAAAAAAUCAUUAAGCUGUCAUUUAUGUGUACUCAUAAAGUUAAAGAGUAAUCUAAUAAUGUGGUCUAAGUUUAAAUGUUAGAAAAAUAAAUCAAUUUUAAGACAUCUUGACAUACCAAAAGUGGACGUUUGUGUAGAAUGACCCUUAUAGCAACUCCUCACUAGUCAAGUUGAAAUGAAUUGUAAAUUCAAGUUGAUUAAACCUAACAAUGUAAGUGCAACAAGGAAUUUUUUUAGAGGCACAAAUAUGUAUAUGCACCCUUAAGGUACAAAGGUGUACUUUUUGAAAUAGUUCCUGAACAGGUUUUGUACCUUUAUUUCCCGAGGGUGCACAGACACUGCUGUUGUGCACACACAGCAAAAAGUAAUUUAAUCAAUCUAAAAACUUAUUUAAAAAAAUACUUAAAAUUACUUUAAUUGGUAAUAUUUUUUUUAUUUUCUCACUUUCACUAAGUUUAAACAUUUUGGGGUGGUUUCCCGGACUGCGCUUUUGCUUGUCCCAGACUAAAAUGCAUGUUUGAGCUGCUUAAUUUAAGAAGAUCUUGCCAUGACAUAUCAUAACAUAUAUCAGUGCCAUUGCCUUAAAUUUCUUCUAAAUGUUUGCAAAAACGUUAGAACAACUUAGACCACACAUACACAAUAAUCAUGAACAAGGAAACAGAACCCUAUAAUAUAUAUCUGUGUUAUAUAUUUUCUAUAAUUUUUUCCUUGUUGCGUAUGUCUAAGUUGUUCAUAUGUUUUGCAAACAUUUAAAAUAAAUUUUAGUAUUAAAGUUUUUGUUGAAUCAUAUUUUUUUAGUUAAAACACCUGUAUGCAAAUUUUACGAACAAAUGUGUGCGUACGCAUGCUUAGUGAAUGAGACCCAUUGUUUGGGAAACUUCCCCUAAAUGUGUUACCAAUUGAAGUAAUUUUUUUAUUUCACCUGAAAAUUUUCAAUGGAAAUAUAAAGAGUCCACACUGGAUUGAGUUAAAGCCAUUUUAUUUUACUCUAUGUUUUGACACCAACUAUUUAUGUUCAAAGUGUUACCACUAUUAAGAAAAUCAGUGUUUUGUUAGUGGUGUUUGUUAACUCCUAGAAGACCUCCCGUGUUUUUGGUUGAUGCCGUUUAAGCAGAUCAUCGUCUCUUUCACUGUAAAUGGAGAUUUGCUUUGGUGGACUUUGGAAGAGCACAGAACAAGGUCAAGCUUUAUUAAAAUUCCUUAUGAGCAAUUUAGAUAGAGCGGUUGUCAAAAAAAAACACAAUGGACCCAUAAACUACAAUAAAAACAUGAACAUUUAUUCAGACUGAAUUUUAUAAUGAAAUGAGUAUUUUGUGCAAAACAUAAAUGUACUGAUUUGAACGUUUUUUGUAAUGUGUUCUGUGUGUGAAUUCAGUAAUGUAAUCUUUAAAUAUUAGUUUCUGCGGUGUAGUUAUCAGUUGUUUUUUACUAAUGCAUUUUUCUCUUUUACUUUUGUUGUAUUAACAGCAAAGCUCAAUAUCCUGUCUGACGGUCUAACCGAGGAUCUUAUCACCUCCUUACAACUGCUGGUUCAUGAUUUUCUACUGUUAUCAUGUGAAAAUGAAGUGAAGACCAACAUGGCUUUUGGAAUGAAAUGAAGUCAAACUUGUUUGUAUGAACUGAAGCAUCCCAUGAAUUCUGUGUUUUUUUGUUAAAUAUCUGUACUAUUGUUAUACAUUGGGAGUGUGCUUUUUAGUUGUCACAGAUGUCUUUUUUAAUGAACACUUAAAUGGA